AGUUAUAUGCUACCUGUUGGCCAGAGGCCUCCCUCAGUUCUUUGCUACACAGGCCUCUCUGGCCUCCACUACAAUAAGCAAGAAGAAACUGCCAUCUCUUUGUACACCUAAUUGUAGAAGUGAUAUUCCAUUACUUUUGCCAUGUUCUAUUAGUUAGAAGUGAAUCACUAGGUUCAGCCUACAUUCAAGAGGAAGGGAUCACACAAAGGUGGUUCCGAGAUGGGUCCUGGAAAAUCGGCUUGCAAGGAAACAAUUUCCUGCUCAGGAGUCCUGCAUUCCUAUCAUACUCUGAACUCCAGCCACUCUGGCAGCUGAUUAGAUGGUGCCCACCCAGAUUAAGGGUGGGUCUGCCUUUCCCAGCCCGUUGACUCAAAUGUGAAUCUCCUUUGGCCUCACCCUCACAGACGUACCCAGGAUUGAUACUUUGUAUCCUUCUAUGCAAUCAAGUUGACACUCAGUAUUAACCAUCACACCUGCCCAGAGUCACUUCAACCUAAAGAAACUGAGUCUACCACUGCCUCUCUGGCAGAGAAAUCAUGUGCUCUCUCUAACCCAGGUCUUUAGAUGUAAAAGAACUGGUAACUGGGAGGUCAAGGGCUCAAUCUGUUUUUGUUUCUUGAGCUGGCAAAAGGCAAUCUUUCCCAUGUGCUCCUACUCACAAAGAUUUCACAAUUUGAUGAUGACUCACACAUCUGCAUGGAAAAAUAUGCUACUACCCUCAGCUGCAGUAGUUUAUGCCUUUCGCUCAUCUAGAAUGAUUACCCAGAAGUAUGUAAUAGUCACCUAAUGGGGAGCAGGUGUGAGAAGAAACAGUCAUUUUGAACAAAGGGAAUGGACGUACAUUGCAGCAUGAAGGAUUUAGGUUAGACAUCCACUCGCGGGGAGAAUUCUCUUCUGUCAGCAAGAGCAGUGAAACACUGGGAUACGGGAUGAAAGCAGAGUUGUGGCACAUUCUCAGGGCAUUUGAAAAGAAAAGGCCAGGUGGUUUGAUUUCAAUGCUUUCUGAACUGCUCCUCUCAGAGGGAGGCGAAUGAAUUCUGUGAUGGCUGAGGAUCAUUUUCAGUUCUGUGAUUCAUGAGCUCCGAGUUCUGGGGACAUCUGAUUAAAAACCAAGUCAAAGAGCCGCAUAUUCCAGAGGUCCUUUCUGAUCAUCCUGAUUGAUACCGGGAUUUCAUUUUUGGCAUGGUGAGGGUGGCCAAUAAGUAUUUGUUAAGACCAAUUUUGUAUAAUGUCUUUUUCUUUGGAUGAUUUUUUACCUGCAUCUUCAAUGGUCAUAGAAAUGGUCUUUCCUAGGGGUUUAAAACGUAUUGCAAGUAGAGUAUCAUCUGGAAUACUCAAGAGAUCCAAAAAGCCAUCAGACAUUCUUUCUCUCCGUAUUAUUUGGAAUCGUCCAACUUUUAACAGGCUGUACAAUUGUCCUUUAUUUUCCUUUCUAAUUGGAAUUUCAACUAGGAAUGCCUGUAGGUAUUGAAUGCCCUCACUUCAAAUGACUUGCUGCACUAGGCAAUGAUAAAGGAUGCCCAUACAUUGGCCCAAAAUUGCUACACUGCCAUCAUUUUUGGUACGAUACCAUAUUAAAACCUAUGUCUUGAGAGACAGUGACAGUGCCUAAAAAUAAUGGAGAUGAGAUUUUCCCAGCUUUUCGGAGGAUCCUGAAAAUAAAAUACUACUUGCCUUCUA
rnacentral:lncRNA from 1 species